rnacentral:tRNA from 1 species
GUGCCCAUAGCUCAGCUGGAUAGAGCAUCUGCCUUCUAAGCAGAAUGUCGCAGGUUCGAGUCCUGCUGGGCACGCCA